ACUUUUAAUUGUCCUUUUAUGCUGGUUAGAUCUCGCUUAUAUUGAGACCAUGUUGUAAUUUCAUGUCUCUGUCUCACCUGUCCCAUCGGGAUAAGAGACUACCUUACUUGUUCUUUCUCUUUCAUAUGGGUAGUUUAUCCCUGAUCCUUUUAAUGCCAUCCAAGAGACAUUAUCCAAUGGAGGUACCGUAUUUUUGUCCGAUUUUCACAGAGAUUUUAGAUGAAAUGACUACCCCAUCAUCUUUGCCUCUCAGUAGCCGAACAUCUAUGACUAGAGGACUUCACAGCAACUGAUCAAAGCCUUCACAACUUGGCAAUUUCACUGUUGAAGCUGUUCCCAUUUGGGCAACUUGGGCAGAUUCUUUUCCUGUAGAUCGAGAUCCGUGGAACAUUCGGGCAACCGAGAUGCCUCUUGUGGUUGUAACUGCUUUUAAUG